GAUGAACGCUGGCGGCGCGCCUAACACAUGCAAGUCGAACGAUUAAAGCACCUUCGGGUGUGUAUAAAGUGGCGAACGGCUGAGUAACACUUGGGCAACCUGCCCCUUUCAUUGGGAUAGCCACGGGAAACCGUGGAUAAUACCGAAUACUUCGAGACUUCCGCAUGGAAGACUCGAGAAAGCUCCGGCGGAGAGGGAUGGGCCCGCGGCCUGUUAGCUUGUUGGUGGGGUAACGGCCUACCAAGGCAAUGAUGGGUAGCUGGGUUGAGAGACCGACCAGCCAGAUUGGGACUGAGACACGGCCCAGACUCCUACGGGAGGCAGCAGUGGGGAAUCUUGCACAAUGGGCGAAAGCCUGAUGCAGCGACGCCGCGUGCGGGAUGAAGGCCUUCGGGUUGUAAACCGCUUUCAGCAGGGACGAGGCGAAAGUGACGGUACCUGCAGAAGAAGCCCCGGCUAACUACGUG
rnacentral:rRNA from 1 species